rnacentral:piRNA from 1 species
CCACUAAUUGGCUGAGCACUGGCUGA